rnacentral:lncRNA from 1 species
GGGCCUCGGCCAGGCCUGAGAUGCCGGGAGGGUUUGACCCUGGGGCUGCAUGGACAGCUUAGCGCUCGGCCGCUGGCGACAGCGGAGGGCGGAGGAUCUGCAGGUUCCGGGGGACGUGACAUGUUUUGAGCGCCUGCUGUGUCUCAAGCCCUGUCCUAGGCACUGGAGAUGAGAUGAAGAAACGAUGAGUAGAGGCCUUGCUUACGUUUAUCCUGCAACUCAUGAUGAGGCUUACUCUGCAACUCCAGUGCUCGGCUUUUUACACAACAGAGUCUCUGUUGCCCAGGCUGGAGUACAGUCGCACGAUCUUGGCUCACUGCAACCUCUGCCUCUCAGGUUCGAGUGAUUCUUCUGCCUCAGCCUCCCAAGUUGCUGGGAUUACAGAAACGGGUAUGCAGGAGAUUAGAAGCCAGUGGGCAUGAGCGUGGCUGCCACCAGGUGAAUGCCUGUGCCCUGGCGUCCUGGGGCCCAGAGGACCGGGAGCUUCCAUCAAGAGGCUGCCUCCCAGCACCAAGGCCAGAGAGUGGCCAGGGGAGGCUAAGUACAGGGAUUUCUCAGAAUGGUGGAAGGAGCUCAGCCCAGCCUUGCCCAAGAUGUAUUGCAGGGGAAUCUAUGGAGUUUUGCUCUCGUUGCCCACGCUGGAGUGCAAUGGCAUGAUCUCAGCUCACUGCAACCUCCGCUUCCCAGGUUCAAGCGAUUCUCCUGCCUCAGCCACCCAAGUAGUUGGGAUUACAGGUGUGUGCCACCAUGCCUGGCGACUUUUGUAUUUUCAGUAGAGAUGGGGUUUCACCUUGUUGAUCAGGCUGGUCUCAAACUCCUGACCUCAAGUGAUCCACCCACCUCGGCCUCCCAAAGUGCUGGGAUUACAGGCGAGAGCCACCGUGCCCGGCCAUGACCUUCUUUAGUUCUUUGACCAUAUUUAAAAUGGCUGAGGUGAAGUCUCUGGUAAGUUCAUGUCUGGGCUUUGUGUUCUGUUUGCCCUUCCAGGUCAGAUCCACUGCCCACCUUUCCUGGCAUCUGCACAGGAGGCCAGCCUGCAUGGCUUACAUCCAGGGGGUGCCGGGGGCACCUGGGCUCUCCCACUUCCCUUUGGGCUCAGCCGCUAGGGGGAUUUGGGGCAGGCAACAGGAGGCUGGAGAACGAGGGCAGGGUAUGUGGCCAUGUCCCCUGGCCAGUGUCACUCAGCAGCAUGUGUCAUCUCCUCCUUCCAGGUUCUGGUAGCCGCUGCUGCCCUUUAUCCCUUGGGUCUGGCCCCUGCACUGUCCCUCGCGGCUCCCAGGACAACUUUGUGACAAAUCCUUUUGUAAUAACCCCUUUGUGAGGUCUCCUGUUCGCCCAUGUAUCUGUUUCCUGUUGGGGCUAUGACUGGUACAGAAGGGUGCACGCCCACUUUCAAGUGUUGACGCCUCCAAGAAGGAAGGGAGGAAGAUGAGGCAAGGGUGUGACAGGUGUCCCUCGGCACAGGGCACAGCAGGUGCUCUAAAGACAUUUCAUCAUACAAAGAUGCAUGCUGGUAAAGACGGAUGAUUGUCUUAGAGGUCCAAGCUUUUACUGUAGGCCUUUGUAGAAUUCUCUUGAGAAGGGACAGUGUUUUGUGGUAGUAAAGACGAAUAUGCUGUUAAAGGAAGAAAAAAUGACUCCUCUGGCAGAUGGUAAUGGCAGGAAUCGUCAACAUCUUUAACCCACAGAGGGCUGCUGUCAUCCUGUCACACAGGUACUCGGGGAGAAGCAGAGAGCUAGCCACAGCCAGGGCUCUGCCCAUUAAGGAAAAAUGGCUUCAGCAAAAAGGGAAGGAGAUGUGGGGUGCAGUUCUCUCCUCCCCCAGUCCACAGGGAUGACUUGCAGCUAGAUGUACCAGAGGUGAGGGCAUCAAUCUGGGUGUUUCACGUAAUGGUCCCAGAUGGAGUGAGGUGUGUCCCUGUUGGCCCUGCUGUCCUUCCGGCUCCACAGAGAGGUCAUGGAGAGCCCAGCGAGGAAGGCUUCCAAAAAGGAAAGGGGGACGUUUUGAGGGAGUUCAUGCGUGGUGGCAAACCCCACAAAGAAGCCGUUGCAGUGAGAGAUGAAAGAAGGGCUGAGGCCACACACGUGUGCCCCAAGGGUGUGGAGGAGAAGGCGCUGGGCAGCAGGUGCAACCAGAAGCAGCUGGCCCUGGGCCCUUUUCAUUCCAAGGUUAGAAGCAAAUAAAAACUCCCUCUUCACAAACAUCGUUCUCUUGCUCCGUGGAAUUGUGUUUUACCAAAAGUGGAAAAGGGUUUUCCCAUUAUUGCUGAUCAAAUCACUUUUCAAGCCUGACCAAACAGGAGGCAAGGCAUUUUAAUUGUCUGCAGUAAGACUCACAGUCGAGGCACAAUGAGCCUGAUGCUCCUCGUCAGACCUGCCUCUGGUGGCUGGUGUGGGCCAUCUGUGAGUCCCAGAGUCUGAUGACUUGAGGUCCCACUGGCCCAGCCCCAGUCUAGAUUGGGGUCAGUACGAGGCUUCUCUUUGGGUGUCACUGGGGGCUGCUUGCUUUGAGAGAGACAGAGACAAACUGGGACGUGUCAAGAAGAGAGAGUAGGAUGAUGCGGGGACUUGAGAUCAUGCCAGGGCAGAGGUUUAAAUGAGCAAUUUCGAAAGGUUCCUUUGUGUCUAAGAGAGAGUAGAAUGGUGCGGGGGCUUGAGAUCACACCGGGGCAAAAGGUCUAAAGAGCAAUUUCUAAAGGUUCCUUUGUGUCUAAGAUUCUGGGUCUUGGCCAGCUGCGUUGGUUCACACCUAUAAUCCCAAGACUUUGGGAGGCUAAGGCGAGUGGAUCGCCUGAGGCCAGGAGUUCUAGACCAGCCUGGACAACAUGAUGAAACCCUGUCUCUACCAAAAAAAAAAAAAAAAAAAUUAGCCAGGUGUGGCGGCAAGCACCUGCAGUCCCAGCUACUCAGGAGGCUGAGAUGAGAGGAUCUCUUGAGCCUAGGAGGCUGAGGCUGCAGUGAGCCAUCAUUGUGACACUGCACUCCAGCCUGGGUGACAGAGCCAGACCCUGUCUCAAAAAAAAAAAAAAAAAAAAAAAUCCAGGUCUCAGUCCUCAAAUUGAUGUGGCUCUUUGUCCCCACGUUUUAUCCUUUCUGUCUCAAACAUGUCUUCCAGGUAUACCCCUCCUUGAACAGAGCAGGGAAGGAUGCGUCAGGAAUAAGUCACCUCAGUGAAUAGCUGUUUUUAAAAAAGAAAUCAUUGUGUUUUUCAAGUUCUGUGGUUGGUGAUGACGAAAUGAAUUAAACAGCAUUUCCCUGCAGUUCCCCUGUCUCUUCCCUAAGAGACGCCUGCUGCCUCCUGGGUCUGCGCACCCCACGGCACCUCCAAGUGAGCCUCCCAGGCUUCCACUGACUCUGCCCCUUCAGUGCACAGCCCAGAGCCGUGAUUUGCCAGCUGGGCUCCUGCGUUCAGAGUCUCCCAACAGAACAGGUUCUUGUCCAGAGAAGUUCAGGAAAUGCUACAUACUUUCCCCUGCCUUUUAGAGACUUGAUGUCCAUUAGACUGUGAAAGACCUCGAGAAUUGCAUGAAGAAACUGGUUUCCAAAAUGUCCUUUUGUAAAGGGAUACCUGCUACACAUGUGAUUCUGGGAAUAUUCUGGGAAGCGCAGGCCUGUUGAGUAAAUGCAGCACCUGUAUUCACCAUGGCAUCCAGGGCCCUUCAAAUCUCAGUGUUGCUUGACCUCCCAGACAGCUGCUCCCAUCCCUGCCAUGUGCGCCACAAGCCCCUGCUCCAGCCGCCACAGCUUCUCCGAUCCUGGAACAGUCUGACCUUGUACUGUGCUUACUGCUUGAGGUAUACCUUCCCACCUCCAAAGAUUCUCUUGCUCCUUCGUGGCCCACCCGAGAUUCCUGUCUUGUGUGAAGCCUUCUUCAGGCCCCUCACCAGGGACAUUUUAGCCAUACCAAGAAUCAUUAGAAGAUGCAAGCUGGAAAAAAGAAGGUCCCAGUUUUGGUUUUGAACCCUUCAUGUUGCAGCAAAUGUGAAUCUCCUACAGAUGGGUUUGGGGACUUACCUGUUCAAAUAGCAGCCCGGUGUCCUCUGUGGGUGGGGGGAGGUUUGUCUGUCCUUUCAUUCUAGUAAAUCCACCAUCCUCUGCACGAGAGCCAGGAGAAUCCACAUCACUUCAAAAGAGCCCCCAAAUCCUUACUACGUACUACAGCCUCCUUUCGAAUGUUCCUGGUUGAGAGGGAGAUCAAUUGCAUUAUUUACAAGUCAAAAAAUUUUGUAUCAAACUUCCUAUGAGCUUGGGCACUCAUGGCCUAUGGAGGCCCACCCAGACGCAGCCCCGCCAUCAUGCUUUUUCGUUGUUUUGUGGAUGUACCCAGGGCUAUUUACACACUCUUUCAUUAAAAGGCUUAUUUUUAUAUUUAAAAUGUUCU